UUUCCUGUCUGCGAAUCCUGUUUGUCACUGGUUGAGGUUAGUUAGCUAGGUUAUAUAAACGUUACGUGAAGAUGAUGAGCAAGGCUGUUACGACGAAGUUUCUGAAAUCCGUGCGAGGGUUCCCAAGCCACCGAAUGAACUACGCUCAAAGUACUAUCGAGAGAGGAUAAAGAUGAGAUGCGACUUCUACAUGGAUUUUCAAGCAACACCAAUGGGUGUGGUUGGUUUUACAAGGCCAAGAAGAAGCACGUUAUCACCACUCAGACGGAGCAUAAGUGUGCUUGGACUCCUGUCGAGUCUUGGAGGCAGAGGGCUUUGACAUAACCCAUCUUCCUGUGAAGACUAAUGGCCAGGUUGACCUACA